UACGUAGGCAGCAAGCGUUGUCCGGAAUUACUGGGCGUAAAGAGUGUGUAGGCGGUGCUCUAAGUUCGGUGCGAAAUCUCCCGGCUUAACUGGGAGGGUGCGCCGGAAACUGGAGUGCUCGAGCGUGGGAGAGGAAAGCGGAAUUCCUGGUGUAGCGGUGAAAUGCGUAGAUAUCAGGAGGAACACCUGCGGUGUAGACGGCUUUCUGGACCAUUGCUGACGCUGAGACACGAAAGCGUGGGUAGCAAACAGG
rnacentral:rRNA from 1 species